rnacentral:rRNA from 1 species
UCCGGUGGCAUUGCCGGAGGGGUCACACCCGUUCCCAUCUCGAACACGGAAGUUAAGCCCUCCAGGGCCAAUGAUACUUGGGCCGUGAGGUUCUGGGAAAGUAGGUCGCUGCCGGAU